AUGCUAACGCUAGCUAGCCUGAGCUAGAAGCCUUGCUUUGGUGUUUUAAGUCACGACUCCGUCCUGCUUCAGGUUAAUCAUGCUUUAAAUAAAGUUUAAUCAUGUGUA